UACGUAGGGUGCAAGCGUUAAUCGGAAUUACUGGGCGUAAAGCGUGCGCAGGCGGUUUUGUAAGUCUGUCGUGAAAUCCCCGGGCUUAACCUGGGAAUGGCGAUAGAGACUGCAAGGCUAGAGUUUGGCAGAGGGGGGUAGAAUUCCACGUGUAGCAGUGAAAUGCGUAGAGAUGUGGAGGAACACCGGUGGCGAAGGCGGCAUUCUGGACCGACAUUGACGCUGAGGAGCGAAAGCCAGGGGAGCAAACGGG
rnacentral:rRNA from 1 species